rnacentral:rRNA from 1 species
AUACGUAGGUGACAAGCGUUAUCCGGAUUUACUGGGCGUAAAGGGCGUGUAGGCGGUCUUGCAAGUCAGAAGUGAAAUUCCUGAGCUCAACUCGGGCGCUGCUUCUGAAACUGCAGGACUUGAGUGCUGGAGGGGAUAGCGGAAUUCCUAGUGGAGCGGUAAAAUGCGCAGAUAUUAGGAAGAACACCGGUGGCGAAGGCGGCUAUCUGGACAGUAACUGACGCUGAGGCGCGAAAGCGGGGGGAGCAAACAGGAUUAGAUACCCUGGUAGUCCACGCCGUAAACGAUGAAUGCUAGGUGUAGGGGGUAUCGACCCCUUCUGUGCCGGAGUGAACACAAUAAGCAUUCCGCCUGGGGAGUACGGCCGCAAGGUUGAAACUCAAAUGAAUUGACGGGG